rnacentral:rRNA from 1 species
AGAGUUUGAUCAUGGCUCAGAUUGAACGCUGGCGGCAGGCCUAACACAUGCAAGUCGAACGGUAACAGGAAGAAGCUUGCUUCUUUGCUGACGAGUGGCGGACGGGUGAGUAAUGUCUGGGAAACUGCCCGAUGGAGGGGGAUAACUACUGGAAACGGUAGCUAAUACCGCAUAACGUCGCAAGACCAAAGAGGGGGACCUUCGGGCCUCUUGCCAUCGGAUGUGCCCAGAUGGGAUUAGCUUGUUGGUGAGGUAACGGCUCACCAAGGCGACGAUCCCUAGCUGGUCUGAGAGGAUGACCAGCCACACUGGAACUGAGACACGGUCCAGACUCCUACGGGAGGCAGCAGUGGGGAAUAUUGCACAAUGGGCGCAAGCCUGAUGCAGCCAUGCCGCGUGUAUGAAGAAGGCCUUCGGGUUGUAAAGUACUUUCAGCGGGGAGGAAGGGAGUAAAGUUAAUACCUUUGCUCAUUGACGUUACCCGCAGAAGAAGCACCGGCUAACUCCGUGCCAGCAGCCGCGGUAAUACGGAGGGUGCAAGCGUUAAUCGGAAUUACUGGGCGUAAAGCGCACGCAGGCGGUUUGUUAAGUCAGAUGUGAAAUCCCCGGGCUCAACCUGGGAACUGCAUCUGAUACUGGCAAGCUUGAGUCUCGUAGAGGGGGGUAGAAUUCCAGGUGUAGCGGUGAAAUGCGUAGAGAUCUGGAGGAAUACCGGUGGCGAAGGCGGCCCCCUGGACGAAGACUGACGCUCAGGUGCGAAAGCGUGGGGAGCAAACAGGAUUAGAUACCCUGGUAGUCCACGCCGUAAACGAUGUCGACUUGGAGGUUGUGCCCUUGAGGCGUGGCUUCCGGAGCUAACGCGUUAAGUCGACCGCCUGGGGAGUACGGCCGCAAGGUUAAAACUCAAAUGAAUUGACGGGGGCCCGCACAAGCGGUGGAGCAUGUGGUUUAAUUCGAUGCAACGCGAAGAACCUUACCUGGUCUUGACAUCCACGGAAGUUUUCAGAGAUGAGAAUGUGCCUUCGGGAACCGUGAGACAGGUGCUGCAUGGCUGUCGUCAGCUCGUGUUGUGAAAUGUUGGGUUAAGUCCCGCAACGAGCGCAACCCUUAUCCUUUGUUGCCAGCGGUCCGGCCGGGAACUCAAAGGAGACUGCCAGUGAUAAACUGGAGGAAGGUGGGGAUGACGUCAAGUCAUCAUGGCCCUUACGACCAGGGCUACACACGUGCUACAAUGGCGCAUACAAAGAGAAGCGACCUCGCGAGAGCAAGCGGACCUCAUAAAGUGCGUCGUAGUCCGGAUUGGAGUCUGCAACUCGACUCCAUGAAGUCGGAAUCGCUAGUAAUCGUGGAUCAGAAUGCCACGGUGAAUACGUUCCCGGGCCUUGUACACACCGCCCGUCACACCAUGGGAGUGGGUUGCAAAAGAAGUAGGUAGCUUAACCUUCGGGAGGGCGCUUACCACUUUGUGAUUCAUGACUGGGGUGAAGUCGUAACAAGGUAACCGUAGGGGAACCUGCGGUUG